rnacentral:rRNA from 1 species
GCUUGGGAAUAUGCCUUUAGGUGGGGGACAACAGUUGGAAACGACUGCUAAUACCGCAUAUAUCCUACGGGGGAAAGCAGGGGAUCUUCGGACCUUGCGCUAUUUGAUGAGCCUGAGUGAGAUUAGCUAGUUGGUGGGGUAAAGGCCUACCAAGGCGACGAUCUCUAGCUGGUCUGAGAGGAUGAUCAGCCACACUGGGACUGAGACACGGCCCAGACUCCUACGGGAGGCAGCAGUGGGGAAUAUUGCACAAUGGGCGAAAGCCUGAUGCAGCCAUGCCGCGUGUGUGAAGAAGGCCUC